AUUGAACGCUGGCGGCAGGCCUAACACAUGCAAGUCGAACGAGUGGCGGACGGGUGAGUAAUGUAUGGGAAACUGCCUGAUGGAGGGGGAUAACUACUGGAAACGGUAGCUAAUACCGCAUACCAUCAGAUGGGCCCAGAUGGGAUUAGCUAGUAGGUGGGGUAAGGGCUCACCUAGGCGACGAUCCCUAGCUGGUCUGAGAGGAUGACCAGCCACACUGGAACUGAGACACGGCCCAGACUCCUACGGGAGGCAGCAGUGGGGAAUAUUGCACAAUGGGCGCAAGCCUGAUGCAGCCAUGCCGCGUGUAUGAAGAAGGCCUUCGGGUUGUAAAGUACUUUCAGCCGGGAGGCGUUACCCACAGAAGAAGCACCGGCUAACUCCGUGCCAGCCGCCGCGGUAAUAC
rnacentral:rRNA from 1 species